AUCCAGCUGACGAGUCCUAAAUAGGAUGAAACGCACGUCCUGAAU
rnacentral:hammerhead_ribozyme from 1 species